UUAUAUGAAAGGAAAACAUAUUUGCAUCUUAAGUCACUGAAUUUUGGGAUUCUUCAUUACAGCAGCUGAGCCUAUACCCUGCUUGAUUAAUAACUAGUCUUUUAAGGAAGGCUCUACCCUUCUACCUGCUCUACUUGCUGGUUCACAACUAUGUUACCAACAUGAGAACAUGACCUCUUUGCUCCUUAUUGAUCUAUUUUCCUUUGGGUUCUUUAGCAAUCAGUCUUUAAAUUCUUGGCUCAGUGUUGCUGUCCUUAAUCCACCUGGACUCUUUGGAUCUUGUAUUUCAGAAUGCUUGCCUUGAUUUUCCUCUAGGACUUAUGGUUUAGCUCACAUCUCUGACCAAUCUGCCAGCCAAUACCUUGAGUAGAAAAUCCCCAGGAAAUCAUUCCGAAACCCAGCAUUUGGCAAGGGCUGGGCUGGGCAAUCUCUAUUCUUAUUACCCCAAGGAGUGGCAUGGAGGGAAUUAGCUGAAUGAGCUAAUGAAUGAAUGGGGUGUAGCAAUCAAUUCCAACAUCCCAAAUUAUUUCUAAAUGCCAGAAUUUUCCUCUUUCCACAUCCCCACUGAUUCAAGAUUCUAGAUGUUUUUCCUGUGAUGAGUUAGUUCCCUGAGACCCAUUUCACGGUUGAGGAGCUUGAGGGAGAGCUAAGCAAAGUGAAGCUAGUGAGGGCUAAGAUCACAAACGUUGUCGGAAGAAUGAGCCUGCAAGAACACCCUACUUUGCUGGCAGCCACUGGAGGAAAGGAUUCACCGACAUGAACAUAACUCUCUUUUUCUGACCGAACAAAUGAGAAGUAACUAGGAUUGAGGCUUCUCUUCUCACCGCUUCGCAUCCUUAAUCUGCCAGCCCACAAGACGUCCGAGGAGCAGAAAAUGUAAUUUUGCCCAAUUUUACUGAACUACGACCUUUCCUCGUCUGGAAAAACAAUAAUAAAGUACUCUAACCCUUAAA